GCGGGUGUAGCUCAGGUGGUAGAGCAUCAGCUUCCCAAGCUGAGGGUCGCGGGUUCGAGUCCCGUCACCCGCU
rnacentral:tRNA from 2 species